rnacentral:misc_RNA from 1 species
CUCCCCUCCAGCCCCGCUGGUUGUUGGGCCGCGCCCCCCGGGGGCGGGCCUCGAGAGAAACGGCGGCACCGUCCGGUCCUCGAGCGUAUGGGGCUCUGUCACCCGCUCUAUGGGCCCGGCCGGGGCUUGCCUCGACCCCCAAUCUUCUCA